CACCCCAAAACUACUCCCUGGUCGACCAGAGAAGAACCCAGGGGCGACACCCACCUUCCAAACCCUAGAUUUCACCUAAAGCUCACAAAUUGGAGCCCUUAAUCUGCUCUAAAUCAAGUUUCAAACACGGAUUAGUGAUCACCUCGUUGCGGGGAUCAAAAGUUUGACGCUUGACAAGCUAGGUGGGAGCUUGUGGAUGAAGCGGGUCAAACGGAUCAAGAACGGAAGGAAAAGCAUGGCAUGGAUGCGAGGUAAGUAAAGCUUACACCCAUUUGUCGUAAACGUAUGUAUUUUAUAGAUGAUAAAUGUGACAACCGAUUACAUUCGAAAUUGAAGUUCCGACACUAAGCGAUAUGAGUCGGAACGAAUAAAAAAAUGAUCAAAACCAUGGUUAAUGGUAAAAUGGACAAAAGGGUAAUUUAGUCGUGAAUCGACUAAGAAUUUAUAAGAUUUCUUUAAGGUUACCUUAUAGCGAAACUAGUAAUGGGAAAAAGGGUAAAUUAGUCACAUGUUGACUAUAUGUAAGUUGGGAUUAAAAGGAUACCCAUGGUGUAAGCCAUAACGAGUUAAAUACGUAAGAAGAAUGGUCUUGUAGUUAAAACUUGAAAUGGGUCGGAUGUGUGAAUGGGAUAUUAAAAGCCAUGUUUUGACAUAAGUAUAAAUGUUUGGUCUUAAAUACCAAAUGGGUCAAAUGGUGGUGAUGACACCAUUUGACAAUAUCGACUAAUGUUUGGUUGUUAAGUUAAAUGUUCACAGGAGUGAACGGGAUGUGGAUUAUUGCGUCGCUAUAAAGUAGCGGCUAAUAAAAGAAAGGUACAAAACGGGUCUAUAUGUUGACUCGAGCCAGGUGAAUGCCAAGAGUGCCCGGAUGAAGAUCAAACUCGAUGAGGAACCGAACA